rnacentral:rRNA from 1 species
GACGAACCGUACGAACGUUAUUCGGAAUUACUGGGCUUAAAGGGUGCGUAGGCGGCGCAGUAAGUUGGGUGUGAAAUCCCUCGGCUUAACCGAGGAAUUGCGCCCAAAACCUACUGUGCUCGAGGGAGAUAGAGGUGAGCGGAACUUAGGGUGGAGCGGUGAAAUGCGUUGAUAUCCUAAGGAACACCGGUGGCGAAAGCGGCUCACUGGAUCUCUUCUCGACGCUGAGGCACGAAGCUAGGGUAGCAAACGGG